rnacentral:rRNA from 1 species
AGGGAAAGCUGGCGGUAAGCCUAACACAUGCAAGUCGAACGGCAGCACAGUAAGAGCUUGCUCUUACGGGUGGCGAGUGGCGGACGGGUGAGGAAUACAUCGGAAUCUACUUUUUCGUGGGGGAUAACGUAGGGAAACUUACGCUAAUACCGCAUACGACCUACGGGUGAAAGCAGGGGAUCUUCGGACCUUGCGCGAUUGAAUGAGCCGAUGUCGGAUUAGCUAGUUGGCGGGGUAAAGGCCCACCAAGGCGACGAUCCGUAGCUGGUCUGAGAGGAUGAUCAGCCACACUGGAACUGAGACACGGUCCAGACUCCUACGGGAGGCAGCAGUGGGGAAUAUUGGACAAUGGGCGCAAGCCUGAUCCAGCCAUACCGCGUGGGUGAAGAAGGCCUUCGGGUUGUAAAGCCCUUUUGUUGGGAAAGAAAAGCAGCAGGUUAAUACCCCGCUGUUCUGACGGUACCCAAAGAAUAAGCACCGGCUAACUUCGUG